GACGAACGCUGGCGGCGUGCUUAACACAUGCAAGUCGAGCGGUAAGGCCCUUCGGGGUACACGAGCGGCGAACGGGUGAGUAACACGUGAGCAAUCUGCCCUUCACUCUGGGAUAACCCCCGGAAACGGGAGCUAAUACCGGAUACGACCACUUCGGACAUCCGAUGGUGGUGGAAAGUUCCGGCGGUGAAGGAUGAGCUCGCGGCCUAUCAGCUUGUUGGUGGGGUAACGGCCCACCAAGGCUUCGACGGGUAGCCGGCCUGAGAGGGUGACCGGCACACUGGGACUGAGACACGGCCCAGACUCCUACGGGAGGCAGCAGUGGGGAAUAUUGGACAAUGGGCGAAAGCCUGAUCCAGCAACGCCGCGUGAGGGAUGACGGCCUUCGGGUUGUAAACCUCUUUCAGCGCAGACGAAGCGAAAGUGACGGUAUGCGCAGAAGAAGCACCGGCCAACUACGUGCCAGCCGCCGCAGUAA
rnacentral:rRNA from 1 species